UCAAGUGACUAAGUGCAUGUGGCGGAUGCCUUGGCGAUCACAGGCGAAGAAAGACGCGGCAGCCUGCGAAAAGCUGCGGGGAGCUGGCAAACGAGCUUUGAUCCGCAGAUAUCUGAAUGGGGGAACCCACACCGCAAGGUGUAUCCGUAGCUGAAUACAUAGGUUACGGAGGCGAACGAGGAGAACUGAAACAUCUAAGUAUCCUCAGGAAAAGAAAUCAACCGAGAUUCCGGCAGUAGCGGCGAGCGAACCCGGAGGAGCCUAGCUUUUGAUAGUACGAACUUUAGCCGAAAGGUCCUGGAAAGGCCUGCUAUAGUGGGUGAUAGCCCCGUAGGCGAAAGAGUUGGUACGGUACUAAGGAAGCGAGAAGUAGAGCGGGACACGUGGAAUCCUGUUCGAAGACGGGGGGACCAUCCUCCAAGGCUAAAUACUCGUGAUCGACCGAUAGUGAACCAGUACCGUGAGGGAAAGGCGAAAAGAACCCCGGGAGGGGAGUGAAAUAGAACCUGAAACCGCAUGCAUACAAACAGUAGGAGCCUCUUCAGAGGUGACUGCGUACCUUUUGCAUAAUGGGUCAGCGACUUACAUUCUGUGGCGAGCUUAACCGAAUAGGGGAGGCGCAGCGAAAGCGAGUUCGAAAUGAGCGUCCAGUCGCAGGGUGUAGACCCGAAACCAGAUGAGCUAUCCAUGGCCAGGUUGAAGGUGUGGUAACACACACUGGAGGACCGAACCGACUAGUGUUGCAAAAUUAGCGGAUGAGCUGUGGAUAGGGGUGAAAGGCCAAACAAAUCUGGAGAUAGCUGGUUCUCCCCGAAAACUAUUGAGGUAGUGCCUCGUGUGUCGCUCCAGGGGGUAGAGCACUGUUUUGGCUAGGGGGACAUGGAGUCUUACCAAACCAAGGCAAACUCCGAAUACCUGGAAGCGUGAGCACGGGAGACAGAGCACCGGGUGCUAACGUCCGGACUCAAAAGGGAAACAACCCAGACCGCCGGCUAAGGUCCCAAAUAACAGCUAAGUGGAAAACGAAGUGGAAAGGCCGUGACAACCAGGAAGUUGGCUUAGAAGCAGCCAUCCUUCAAAGAAAGCGUAAUAGCUCACUGGUCGAGUCCUUCUGCGCGGAAGAUGUAACGGGGCUAAGCUGUUAACCGAAGCCGCGGAUGCGCUGGUUAUCCAGUGCGUGGUAGGGGAGCGUUCUGUAAGUCUGCGAAGGCGGUUCGAGAGGACUGCUGGAGAUAUCAGAAGUGCGAAUGCUGACAUGAGUAACGUUAAAGCAGGUGAAAAGCCUGCUCGCCGUAAGCCCAAGGAUUCCUGCUCUACGUUCAUCGGAGCAGGGUGAGUCGGCUCCUAAGGUCAGGCCGAAAGGCGUAGCCGAUGGGAAUCAGGUUAAUAUUCCUGAACCUGCGUCAGAUGCGAUGGGGGGACGGAGCAUGGAAGAUCAUCCGGGUGUUGGAAGUCCCGGUUGUUGAGCGUAGGAGGUCUGCAGGCAAAUCCGCAGACGCAUCUCCAAGGCAAAGACACGUGCCGCUACGGCGGCGAAGUGAUCGGAAGUGCUUCCAAGAAAAGCCUCUAAGCCCCAGUCUGACGCGGACCGUACCGCAAACCGACACUGGUGGGCGAGCUGAAUAUGCUCAGGCGCUUGAGAGAACUCGGGAGAAGGAACUCGGCAAAUUGACACCGUAACUUCGGAAGAAGGUGUGCCGUAGUACCGUGAGAGGAGAGACACCUUGAGCGGGAAACGGUCUCAGAGAAUAGGUGGCUGCGACUGUUUAUUAAAAACACAGCACUCUGCAAAGUCGAAAGACGACGUAUAGGGUGUGAUGCCUGCCCGGUGCUGGAAGAUUAAUUGAUGGGGUGAGAGCCCUUGAUCGAAGUCCCAGUAAACGGCGGCCGUAACUAUAACGGUCCUAAGGUAGCGAAAUUCCUUGUCGGGUAAGUUCCGACCUGCACGA
rnacentral:rRNA from 1 species